rnacentral:rRNA from 1 species
GUGAAAUUCCGUCGGAAUCUGGGAGGACCAUCUCCUAAGGCUAAAUACUCUCUAGUGACCGAUAGUGAACCAGUACCGUGAGGGAAAGGUGAAAAGCACCCCGGAAGGGGAGUGAAAUAGAACCUGAAACCGUGUGCUUACAAGUAGUCAGAGCCCGUUAAUGGGUGAUGGCGUGCCUUUUGUAGAAUGAACCGGCGAGUUACGAUUUGAUGCAAGGUUAAGCAGUAAAUGUGGAGCCGUAGCGAAAGCGAGUCUGAAUAGGGCGUUUAGUAUUUGGUCGUAGACCCGAAACCAGGUGAUCUACCCUUGGUCAGGUUGAAGUUCAGGUAACACUGAAUGGAGGACCGAACCGACUUACGUUGAAAAGUGAGCGGAUGAACUGAGGGUAGCGGAGAAAUUCCAAUCGAACCUGGAGAUAGCUGGUUCUCUCCGAAAUAGCUUUAGGGCUAGCCUCAAGUGAUGAUUAUUGGAGGUAGAGCACUGUUUGGACGAGGGGCCCCUCUCGGGUUACCGAAUUCAGACAAACUCCGAAUGCCAAUUAAUUUAACUUGGGAGUCAGAACAUGGGUGAUAAGGUCCGUGUUCGAAAGGGAAACAGCCCAGACCACCAGCUAAGGUCCCAAAAUAUAUGUUAAGUGGAAAAGGAUGUGGCGUUGCCCAGACAACUAGGAUGUUGGCUUAGAAGCAGCCAUCAUUUAAAGAGUGCGUAAUAGCUCACUAGUCGAGUGACACUGCGCCGAAAAUGUACCGGGGCUAAACAUAUUACCGAAGCUGUGGAUUGUCCUUUGGACAAUGGUAGGAGAGCGUUCUAAGGGCGUUGAAGCAUGAUCGUAAGGACAUGUGGAGCGCUUAGAAGUGAGAAUGCCGGUGUGAGUAGCGAAAGACGGGUGAGAAUCCCGUCCACCGAUUGACUAAGGUUUCCAGAGGAAGGCUCGUCCGCUCUGGGUUAGUCGGGUCCUAAGCUGAGGCCGACAGGCGUAGGCGAUGGAUAACAGGUUGAUAUUCCUGUACCACCUAUAAUCGUUUUAAUCGAUGGGGGGACGCAGUAGGAUAGGCGAAGCGUGCGAUUGGAUUGCACGUCUAAGCAGUAAGGCUGAGUAUUAGGCAAAUCCGGUACUCGUUAAGGC